UUUUAUAGGAUUAUUUAGAGCUAGGCUUGUAUAUGCUUUUAGAAGCCUGGUGAUCUCUGUGCUAUCAAGUCGUUUUUGAUACUGAAAUUUCCGAAUCGACAAUUUAUUUUGUUAGACUUAAUUUAAAGUAUUUAAAAAAUAAAUUUCAUAAUUUUUCAAUAUCAUUUACCUAAUUAUUGAAGAGGCCGAAAAUCAAUAAUUUUAAUGAUCGUGGUGAAACAUUUGCAAGUUUAAUGAUUUAGAAAAAUGAAAAUCAUAUAAUAUUUUGAUAGAAAAUUUAUUAUACUACAUAAAAUAAAAUCAAUAUUUUUGAUCUAAAAUUUUUGUAUCAUAUUAUCACUUUUUAUAAGAUUUUUUUAUUUUUAGCUAUUAAUUUUGAGUCAUUUCAAUCGCUAAGUAAAUGAUAUUGAAAAAUCACGAAAUUAAUUUUUCUAGAUACUUUCAAUAUUCUAUAUCAAGUCUAACGAAACCGACCGUUGAUUUAAAAUUCAAGUAUUAAGAGCGACUUGAUAUGCACCUCAAAACCAACUUAAAAAAAAAAAAAAAAAAAUCUUUCGUGCAUAGUCCUCUAAAAUUUGACGAGGGUACGUAAAAAUAAAGAUAAACUUUAAAUACCACCUCUAUAGUUUUGUACUUUCUCACUUUAGUACCAUGUGGUUUAAAGUGUAUCAAUUUAGUACCCCAUAGUUUCAUUUUUAUCUUUUCGUCAGCUUUUUCGUUAAUAUUUCGUUAAAUUAUAUACAAAAAACUUCAAAUACCUAUCCGGUGAUUUCACACUUUCUCACAUUAGUACCCUAUGGUUUAAAGUGUAUUAAUUUAGUAUCAUGUGGUUUAUUUUAACUUUUUAUUAUUGAUUCCACUAAUUUUUUUCGUUAAAUCAGUGACAAAGUUAAAAUUAAGAGAUACUAAAGUGAAUAUUCGAUAAACCUAGGUAGGGUAUUUGAAGUUUCCUUAAUAAUAGAAAAAACUUCAAAAACCACCCUUGUGGUUUCACACUUUCUCACAUUAGUACCCUAUGGUUUAAAGUGUAUUAAUUUAGUAUCAUGUGGUUUAUUUUAACUUUUUAUUAUUGAUUCCACUAAUUUUUUUCGUUAAAUCAGUGACAAAGUUAAAAUUAAGAGAUACUAAAGUGAAUAUUCGAUAAACCUAGGUAGGGUAUUUGAAGUUUCCUUAAUAAUAGAAAAAACUUCAAAAACCACCCUUGUGGUUUCACACUUUCUCACAUUAGUACCCUAUGGUUUAAAGUGUAUUAAUUUAGUAUCAUGUGGUUUAUUUUAACUUUUUAUUAUUGAUUCCACUAAUUUUUUUCGUUAAAUCAGUGACAAAGUUAAAAUUAAGAGAUACUAAAGUGAAUAUUCGAUAAACCUAGGUAGGGUAUUUGAAGUUUCCUUAAUAAUAGAAAAAACUUCAAAAACCACCCUUGUGGUUUCACACUUUCUCACAUUAGUACCCUAUGGUUUAAAGUGUAUCAAUUUAGUACCCCAUAGUUUCAUUUUUAUCUUUUCGUCAGCUUUUUCGUUAAUAUUUCGUUAAAUUAUAUACAAAAAAUUUCAAAUACCCCACCUAGGUUUAUCGNUUUGCAAGUUUAAUGAUUUAGAAAAAUGAAAAUCAUAUAAUAUUUUGAUAGAAAAUUUAUUAUACUACAUAAAAUAAAAUCAAUAUUUUUGAUCUAAAAUUUUUGUAUCAUAUUAUCACUUUUUAUAAGAUUUUUUUAUUUUUAGCUAUUAAUUUUGAGUCAUUUCAAUCGCUAAGUAAAUGAUAUUGAAAAAAAAAAAAAAAAAUCUUUCGUGCAUAGUCCUCUAAAAUUUGACGAGGGUACGUAAAAAUAAAGAUAAACUUUAAAUACCACCUCUAUAGUUUUGUACUUUCUCACUUUAGUACCAUGUGGUUUAAAGUGUAUCAAUUUAGCAUCCUAUUUUUUCAUUUUUCUCUUUUUAUCGGUCCCUCCAUUAACUUUUCGUUAAAUCAUAUACCAAAAACUUCAGACACUCUAUUUGUAGGUUAUCGAAUAUUCACUUUAGUGCUCUUUAGUUUUAACUUUGUCACUGAUUUAGCGAAAAAAAAAUUAAUAGAUGGGAUAACAAAAAGCGAAAAAUAAAACAACAGAGUACAAAAAUGAUACACUUUAAAGCACAUAGUACUAAAGUGAGAAAGUGCGAAACUAAAGGAAUGGUAUUUGAAGUUUUUCCUAAAAUUAAAUUUCGUGCUCCAUC
rnacentral:lncRNA from 1 species